rnacentral:rRNA from 1 species
GUGCCUAACACAUGCAAGUCGAGCGGGGUAGCAAUACCCAGCGGCAGACGGGUGAGUAACACGUAGUCAACCUUCCCGAUAGUGGGGGAUAACUAGCCGAAAGGUUAGCUAAUACCGCAUACGAUCUAUGAGAGGCAUCUCUUAUAGAUGAAAGGAGCAAUCCGCUUUCGGACGGGACUGCGUCCCAUUAGCUAGAUGGUGGGGUAAUGGCCUACCAUGGCGACGAUGGGUAGCUGGUUUGAGAGAGCGACCAGCCACACUGGGACUGAGAAACGGCCCAG